GUGGGGAAUCUUCCGCAAUGGACGAAAGUCUGACGGAGCGACGCCGUGUGAGUGAAGAAGGCCUUCGGGUCGUAAAGCUCUGUCAUCAGGGACGAACGGCCGGUGGAGUGGAAAGCCACCGGAUUGACGGUACCUGAGAAGGAAGCCACGGCUAACUACGUGCCAGCAGCCGCGGUAAUACGUAGGUGGCAAGCGUUGUCCGGAAUUAUUGGGCGUAAAGCGCGCGCAGGUGGGAUCUUAAGUCCAUUUUGAAAGUUCGGAGCUCAACUCCGUGAUGGGAUGGAAACUGGGAUUCUUGAGUACCGGAGAGGAAAGCGGAAUUCCCCGUGUAACGGUGAAAUGCGUAGAUAUGGGGAGGAACACCAGUGGCGAAGGCGGCUUUCUGGACGGUGUCUGACACUGAGGCGCGAAAGCCAGGGGAGCGAACGGGAUUAGAUACCCCUGUAGUCC
rnacentral:rRNA from 1 species